GUAAUGGAUUAGCUGGCAUCUCAUGAUUCCUAGCCGCCUGAGGAUAGUGCAGGGGAUAGUGGGAUGGAGCCUGCCUGCCUCUUCAGGUGGUUUUGGCUGCGCGAGGACUGGGGUACACUGAAUUAAGGAUAAAUGGGGGCACAAAUAUUUAAUUCACUACAGGUGAAAUUCUUGGAUGCAUUUGCCAUUGCCUUCUGAAAAAUGCAUCUGCCAAGGAUGUAACUUUUACUCAGCAACGAAAGUUAUGGGAUCCAGGAAGAUCCCAUCCCGGCUAUUUCUUCCCCGUGGAAUAUGCCGACCUUCCAUUAGAACAGCUAGUUUACCCUGGGGUUGAUCGGUGCGGCCAUACUUGCCGUUCGCCUUUCGGCGGCUGUGAUGGGGACGCUUUACCCGGUGGUGACAAUGAAUGACUCCCUAGCAGCUUGUGAGAA
rnacentral:rRNA from 1 species